rnacentral:tRNA from 3 species
CGCGGAAUAGAGCAGCCAGGUAGCUCGUCGGGCUCAUAACCCGAAGGUCACAAGUUCAAAUCUUGUUUCCGCAACCA